GACGAACGCUGGCGGCGCGCCUAACACAUGCAAGUCGAACGAAGUUUGCCGGAUUGAUCCUUCGGGUGAUUGAUAGUAAACUUAGUGGCGGACGGGUGAGUAACACGUGAGCAACCUGCCUUACAGAGGGGGAUAACGUUUGGAAACGAACGCUAAUACCGCAUAACGUGCGGUCCUCGCAUGGAGACUGUACCAAAGAUUUUAUCGCUGGAAGAUGAGCUCGCGGCCGAUUAGGUAGUUGGUGAGAUAACAGCCCACCAAGCCGACGAUCGGUAGCCGGACUGAGAGGUUGAUCGGCCACAUUGGGACUGAGACACGGCCCAG
rnacentral:rRNA from 1 species